AUACGGCCUAGAUAAGGUGUUGCGAGAUGCGGACGCAAAAUCUUUGUUUCGUUUUUUUUUUCAUAUGAGUAAUGAUUCUAUUUGUAGAUGACGAUGUCGAGAUGAGGAAUUAGAGGGUUUUUCAAUAUUAAAACAACCCUUUUCGAUGGAUUUUUAGGUUUAAUUCUACAUUUUAUGGUGUGGCAACCUUAUAUAAACCUUUUCCAUCAAGAUACUUGCACCACAAUUUAUCAAAUAGGUCCCCAGCUCUUGUGCUACCAGUUUCCAUGCGAUUCUCAAAAUCCAAAGUUAGCAGCAAGGAGAAUCUUUAUGAGAAAGUAAUCAAACGCACCCUUUUUGGUGGACUGGAUUUCUGUCAUGACAUGAAUCUUCCUGACAGAGAGAAAGAUUCAGAGUUUGAUUUUUGUUGUAGUGAAAGCAAAAGCAUAGCAGCUGCGUCGAUGUUAGCUCGGAAAUUCCUUCUUGCUUUGCGCUUUAUAACUCGUCGCAACUGGGCAAAAUUUGGCAGGUUCACAACCUUACAGAAGUUCAUUUGGAUUCCAUCAUUAUCCAACAAAAAGAAAAGUUAGAUCAACUUGAUGAUAAGGAAAUAGAGGCAAAAGAGAUCCAAAGAUUGAAGUGCUGGUAAAUUCAGAGCUCACAUAUACUAGUUUUUGUUAUUUCUAACUUGCUGCUUCUCAAAGCUUUGAAUGGUCAUCAUCAUCUUUUUACUAUUUUUUGCCCAAAGGUUUAUGUUGCAGUUAUGAGAGAAGUAUUGAUAUGCUAUUUUGACUGAGAUGGUGCAAGGUCUUAUGCUUGCUCUCAAGUAUUUCUUUGAAAGUUGUAAGGUCUCCGUUCCAAUCUUGAUGUCUCUUUUUUGUGCAUAUGAUGGUGUUGGUUGUGAUAUUUAUACCUUAGUUUCAGAGUAACUACCCUUUGAGAGGUGCUUGUCAAGUCCACAAUUCCUAGUGAACAUGCUAUUUGUUUCCAUAAAACUGAUGAGGACUUCUGCAUUGCAUAUAAACUAUGUGAAACAGUAACUGUAGCUACCAUUUUAUUUGUAGCUUGAGGUUCCUCCUGCCGUUAAUGAAAUGCGAGAUUAUUAUGGUUUUUUUUUUGGUUGGCCAUUGACAUCGUCUCAUACUGGAUCAGUUUUUAUUGGUUGCUACAGUGGUAUUGUUUGUAACUAAAUACAGCAGUAUUUGGUUGUAUGUUGAGAACAUUCAGCAAAACCUGUAGUGUACAAUGGAUUGUUUUAUUUGGCAUCAAAAGAUCAAAUCUGCCUCAUGACAUUUAAUGGCUAUUUGAGAACGAUCAUGUGUGAAAGAAUCCUUAAAUAUCAGAAAUGAGAACGAGGGAUUAUUCAUAUUUAUUUGAGUGGAUAUGCUAGGUUCCGGUUCUUGAUUGUUAAUGGAUAGGACCUGGAUCUGCAAAUGCAUUUAUUUCAUUUCUUUAUAUCUAAGAGGCCACAUAGCAAACAACCAAGAUCUAGUAUGCAAACAACCAAGAUCUAGUAUGCCACAUAGCAAACAACCAAGAUCUAGUAUGCAUGUUGCAGGCAUGGCCCUCCACCCUGUCUUUAAUCCCAUUGAUAUUAGAUAAAAACCCUCGCAUAUUCUUUUUUUGGGUAGAUCAGUGGGGAAGGGGUCCCCUACCACACUAGGAAUGGAACUCAAGGCAUCAUGUUGUGGCAUCCACCGCCCUCAUCACCUAUGCCUUGAGUCCAUUCCUAAACCCUCACCCAUAUUGCUUCCCAACUUUUCGUUACUUAAUGUUGUUUCCUGCAUAACUACAUCCCCAUUAAAUAGAAGAAAAGAAAACCUUUUUGGUAAUUCUCCCAAAUUGAUACUCAAUGAGAAAAUCAUCAACUAAAAGGGGACAACCCUCUCUCAUAUCUCUUUUCCACUUUCCCAUAUAAGGAGUAGGCAAAAACCUACCCCUGAACCUGUUUCUAACCAAUACAGUAUACAAGCGUAUAUAUUGACCAAACUAAAUCAAACAUUAAUCCUCAAGUUUUGAACUUAUCAUUUGAUAUCUAGAAGAUAUGGACAGAGAAGACAGAACUUCUAAUAUGCUAGGGUGGUUUGUUGGAUUGGAUAUGCCCUCCUCAAGCCAUUACCAUCAAAGUUGAGGAGAGAGAAGAUGUUAUGACAUUGCCAUGACUAGAUGCAUACGUAGGUUCUGCCAAGGGGCCUGUCCUCUGGAUGCCAUUGUUUAAGGCGCCAAUCCAAUUUUGCCACAGCGACACAUGAAAUGAGCUGUCGGGGAAACUUCUGGAGAGUGGGGAUAGAUGAAAAACACAAAUAGCAGAGAACUUUGAGAUCUGAGGAACCUCCACCGCUAAGCAAUUUGAGUAGGGAGAGACAUUUGUUGUUUAAGGCUACAUGAAAUAUCGUUUGCCCUUGGUUUAAUGGGAGCAAAGCCGUGUUUCUGCGCUAUAUUAUCUGUUCUGUUAUCUCUUUAUCUUA